rnacentral:rRNA from 1 species
GACGAACGCUGGCGGCGUGCCUAAUACAUGCAAGUUGAGCGAUGAAGAUUGGUGCUUGCACCAAUUUGAAGAGCAGCGAGCGGGUGAGUAACGCGUGGGGAAUCUGCCUUUGAGCGGGGGACAACAUUUGGAAACGAAUGCUAAUACCGCAUAACAACUUUAAACAUAAGUUUUAAGUUUGAAAGAUGCAAUUGCAUCACUCAAAGAUGAUCCCGCGUUGUAUUAGCUAGUUGGUGAGGUAAAGGCUCACCAAGGCGAUGAUACAUAGCCGACCUGAGAGGGUGAUCGGCCACAUUGGGACUGAGACACGGCCCAAACUCCUACGGGAGGCAGCAGUAGGGAAUCUUCGGCAAUGGACGAAAGUCUGACCGAGCAACGCCGCGUGAGUGAAGAAGGGUUUCGGAUCGUAAAACUCUGUUGGUAGAGAAGAACGUUGGUGAGAGUGGAAAGCUCAUCAAGUGACGGUAACUACCCAGAAAGGGACGGCUAACUACGUG